rnacentral:rRNA from 1 species
UACGGAGGAUGCAAGCGUUAUCCGGAAUGAUUGGGCGUAAAGCGUCCGCAGGUGGCUGUGUAAGUCUGCUGUUAAAGAGUGAGGCUCAACCUCAUAAAAGCAGUGGAAACUACACAGCUAGAGUGCGUUCGGGGCAGAGGGAAUUCCUGGUGUAGCGGUGAAAUGCGUAGAGAUCAGGAAGAACACCGGUGGCGAAGGCGCUCUGCUAGGCCGCAACUGACACUCAGGGACGAAAGCUAGGGGAGCGAAUGGG